rnacentral:rRNA from 1 species
GACGAACGCUGGCGGCGUGACCUGACACAUGCAAGUCGGACGGUUCUUGCACCUUCAAGCUUGCUUGCUGGUGCAAGGAUAGUGGCGGACGGGUGAGUAACGCGUGAACAUCUACCCAUUGGAGGGGGACAACCCGUCGAAAGGCGGGCUAAUACCGCGUAAGCCGCGAGGUGAGAGGCUGCCUAUUGGUGGCCGCCGAUGGAUGGGUUCGCGUCCUAUCAGCUGGUUGGUGGGGUAACGGCCUACCAAGGCGAAGACGGGUAGCCGGUCUGAGAGGAUGGCCGGCCACACUGGAACUGAGACACGGUCCAGACUCCUACGGGAGGCAGCAGUGGGGAAUAUUGGGCAAUGGGGGUAACCCUGACCCAGCGACGCCGCGUGAGGGACGAAGGUUUUCGGAUCGUAAACCUCUGUUGUACGGGAAGAAGGAAUUGACGGUACCGUACGAGAAAGCCCCGGCAAACUACGUG